UGCCCACGCACCUCUCAUGAACAUUCUUCCUUUGACAAGCGUCAUACACCGCCUUCGUCCUAGCAGCUGCAAGCGAUGAAGCUCUGCUCGUGUCACACACUACUGCCUGUACCUCGCCAACUAGAAGAAGCCUCGCGUCAUUUGGAUUUCAGCAUUGCUUUGGAUGCGCGCGUUUCCUUUAACUAGCGCUAUACUGACGCAGGACGAGAACGAGAGGAACGCAGUGCAUGAUGGCAGUUGAAAAUGUCUGUCCUGAGAUACGCGCCAACUAACCGAACUUUCUUCUCUAAUUAAGCAAAUCUCGGACAACAGAAGCGCGAAAUAUCAAUCGAACAGUUUUUUUUCUUCAAACGACGACGGCGUUUUUUAGAAACCACUUAUAGACGAGAACGCGGGCAACAUUUUCACGUGUAAGGUGUUCACACGUUAGGCUCGUGAUAAUGGCUUUUACGAUAUAUGCGUAAUUUUGCGUUCCCCAAUUUCUUCCUUUCUGUUGUUUUCUCUUGUUCUCAUUGUGCAGAGGAUAACGUGUAAAUAAAGUCCUCCUUUUAAAAAAUCCUAACGCAGCAUUUAAAAAGCUCUUGACCCGCCGUGCGCAAUUCCACUUCCUGAGCUGGCAUUCUCGGAGACGGACGUUACUUGCACGACACACCAAAACUGAUCAUCGGUUAACUAACAAUGUUGUCGGCUUUAGAUGUCAACAAAGCUUGAAAUUCAGCUAAUUAGUGAAGUUCCAUCUUUACGCGAGCGUUAAGAAAGAACUUGAACAAGAACGUACAAAUAGGUACGAGACUGAACACAUUGGCAUGCUUGAUAUCUUCAGUCGCGUCCUCGUCCAAGUUCUUUCCUAGCGCUAGCGCAAAAAAAAGAUGGCUGAAUAGAAUUGUGGUUUUUAUCGCUUAGUUACACAACUGCAAACUUGAUGCUUCAAUAUUCUUUCCAAUUUAGCGAUUUUCAGUAGACUUUGUAAAAGAAGCUAAAUAUGGCCUAAAUAAAGAAAUAUCUACUUC
rnacentral:lncRNA from 1 species